CCGUUUUAACCCAGCGGGGCUGGGUUGAGAACGCGGACGUGAAGGAGAGCACGCACGUCACGUCAAGAUCGUACGUCUCCAGUGUGAGCAGCCGCCAUUUUCUCAGCGUGAAAGAAGCGAGAAGCGAGUGAAAGACUAUGACUUGUCCAGCUCGUGUCUUCAUUGUGUCAGUGCUGUGCGCCGAGAGUUAAAGACACAGAAGCUGUUUGUGUGCGAGUCUCAGACUGUGAGGAGGAGGAUGUGUUCUUCUGAAGAGAGGGACAGACGGUUUAAGGAGAGUGAACUUCAGAAUAACAUCAAGUUAUCUUUAUUUUUACUAAGACUAAAAUAAUGUUUGUUUUUGUAGAUGUUGAAAUCCAGAGACAAGAUAACUUCAUUCUUUUGAGACCGAUAACUCAAACUAACUGGAGUUAAGGACACAGAAGUCUGCUUGUGUGAGGAGGAGGUUUUCUCAGCUUCUUCUGAAGAGAGGGAAAGAUAGUUUAAGGCAAGUAAACUUCAUAAUUUCAUGUUAUCAGUUAUUGUUGUUUUUUACUAAGAGUAAAAUAAUGUUUGUUUUUUGUUUUUGUAGAUGUUAAAAGCCAGAGACAUGGGAGAGCAUCAUUCUUUUGAGAUUUUAUGUAAGUUAUUUUUAGAAAAUAAAUGUUUCUGUUGUCUCCUGCCGGUUUACUUCACAUUUUGAUGCAACAACAGUGUGAUUACGUGCUCAUUUCAUUAAAACCAUUGAUGUCUUUGUUUUUCAUUGCAGAACUCAAACUUUGGAGUGUGUUGUCUGAUUUGGAGAGUCAUCAUUCUUGGUCUUCCCUCUUAAAGGCCACUGAUGAAGAACAGGCGGUGACUGGAUGAAUGCUGGUCAAAGAAGAGAAGGUCCUUUCCCCUAAACUGAUGCAGCAGUGGUUUUAAAGGAGGACGCUGCCCAUGAUGAUGUAGAAGAUGUCACAUGCUGUGCUGAUGGGGCUUCUUCAUGACUACAUCAAUUAUUAUGAAGAGAUUAUUAAAAUUGACCGUGAUGCAUGAUCUGUAUUCAUGGACUAUGAAACAAUCUCUAAGUGUAUAAUUUGUAAAAACAA